GAUGAACGCUGGCGGCGUGCUUAACACAUGCAAGUCGAACGGAAAGGCUCCUGCUUGCAGGGGUACUCGAGUGGCGAACGGGUGAGUAACACGUGGGUGAUAUGCCCUGCACUUCGGGGUAAGCCUGGGAAACUGGGGCUAAUACCGGGGAGGACCACUUUAUGGGCGGGGUGGUGGAAAGAUUUGCGGUGUGGGAUGAGCUCGCGGCCUAUUAGCUGGUUGGUGGGGUAAUGGCCGACCAAGGGGUCGACUGGUAGCCGGCCUGAGAGGGUGUACGGCCACAUUGGGACUGAGAUACGGCCCAGAAGCCUACGGGAGGCAGUAGUGGGGAGUAUUGCACAAUGGGGGCACGCCUGAUGCAGCGACGCCGGGUGGGGGAUGACGGCCUUCGGGUUGUAAACACCUUUCGCUGGAGACGAAGCGCAAGUGACGGUACCUGGAGAAGAAGCACCGGCUAACUACGUG
rnacentral:rRNA from 1 species